rnacentral:lncRNA from 1 species
AAUUUUUUUUUAAAAAAAAAACUUUAAAUAUUAUUCCUGUAAUUUCAUAUUUUUUCACUAUAGUAUCCUAUAAUUUUAAGUAUAUAAAUUUAGUAUCAUGUAGUUUUAUUUUUAUUUUUUUAUUAUUAAUUUCACUAAUUUCAGUGACAAAGUUAAAAAUAAAUGGUAUUAAAGUGAAUAUUCGAUAAAUCUAAAUAGAAUAUCUGAAAUUUUUGCAUAUAAUUUAACGAUAACGGAAAAAACUAACGAAAAAAAUAAAAAUGAAACCAUAUAACACUAACUUGAUACACUUUAAACCACAUGGUAUUAAAAUGAGAAAGUGUGAAACUAUAGAAAUGGUUUUUGAAGUUUACCCUAAAAAAAAAAAGAAAUGCUUCAAUACACCAGCUCAAUUAAAUAUAGUCGUUCAUAUUUUAUGGUCGAGAUUGACUUUUACAAAGCAGAAACCUGCACAUCAGGUCACCAACCAAAAUCAAUACUAAAUGCAAUAUUGGAAAAUAAAUACUAGCCAAUUACCAAAUUAAAUAACAUUCAACAAAUAUUUAUUUUCUUCUUUAAUUUUGUCACUUAUCAAAUUAGAUAUGGCUAAUUUGAUAAGUAACAAAUCUUCAUAGAUUGAAUUUAAAAUUAAAUUUGAGCUUAAACUUUAUAAUUGUAUAUAGUAAAUUCAAAUUUAAAUUUAAAUUUAAUUUUUAGAAAGAAAAAAAUUAUAUUUAAAUGAGUAGUA